CACACACAAAUAAAAGAAAUAUCAAAUAUACCAAUACGUUAACAAGGGGAAUCAAAAGAAGAAGAAGCCGACUGAUGUAUACCUCUCUCCCUUUUCCCUUUUAUUUCCAUUUUCUUUUCACUUUUUGUCUUUUUACCUCUC
rnacentral:ribozyme from 1 species